rnacentral:rRNA from 1 species
AUUGAACGCUGGCGGCAGGCCUAACACAUGCAAGUCGAGCGGAUGAAGGGAGCUUGCUCCUGGAUUCAGCGGCGGACGGGUGAGUAAUGCCUAGGAAUCUGCCUGGUAGUGGGGGAUAACGUCUGGAAACGGGCGCUAAUACCGCAUACGUCCUGCGGGAGAAAGUGGGGGAUCUUCGGACCUCACGCUAUCAGAUGAGCCUAGGUCGGAUUAGCUAGUUGGUGGGGUAAAGGCCUACCAAGCAGACGAUCCGUAACUGGUCUGAGAGGAUGAUCAGUCACACUGGAACUGAGACACGGUCCAGACUCCAACGGGAGGCAGCAGUGGGGAAUAUUGGACAAUGGGCGAAAGCCUGAUCCAGCCAUGCCGCGUGUGUGAAGAAGGUCUUCGGAUUGUAAAGCACUUUAAGUUGUGAGGAAGGGCAGUAAGUUAAUACCUUGCUGUUUUGACGUUACCAACAGAAUAAGCACCGGCUAACUUCGUG